rnacentral:lncRNA from 1 species
AGCUGGUUUAAUCUCCGUCGCCGGCGUUUCCUCCUUCGGGAACAAGACUCCAUCAAUACCCUGAACUGAAAUCCGACCGUCCGUGUAGAUAUCAGGAUCAAACAAGUAAGCUGAACCAUCACCGUGUCCGAAUUUGACAGAUCCAUCAGCUUCUUGAGCCAACACUUUAUGUGGGAAUCUCAAUGAAUCAUACUUCACUUUUCCGAAUCUCCGAACAGCGUUGUACAUACUCUCCUCUGUUUGAUACUCCGGUAUGAUGUGGUAAUACAUAAUUUGUUCAGGAGCACCUGGCUCGCUAAGCUGGUCCGUUGUGAGCUUAGCCAUGGCUUCGUCGUUAGGAGCAAGAACGGUUAAAACGUAGCCUUCUGACACGAGUCGACCCAUCUCAGUGGCUAAAGAGGUUAAGUUGACGAGUAUAUCAGCCAUCUCGUUGUAGCCACCGUAAUGCAAGAGAGUGUGGAUGAAAUCUUUAACUUGAGCAUCGCCGUUGAAAUGGCCACGUGGACCACCGGGUCCGGGAGCUGGAGCAGGAGCUAGGGAAGGACCUGGUGACAUAGCGUCGUAGAUUGGAAGAACCGGAGGAGCUCCGGCGGGAACGGCGGGAGAUGGUUUCUUGAGACGGUGAGUUCUAGGGUCAACCUCAGGAGCUCCUUCUGGUAUAACGGCGGAGAUUGAACGGAGACUACGACGGCGGUUAAAAUCUUCUUGAACAGAGCGAGGGAUGAGAAGACGUUCGAUGCCGUGAAUGAUACCAUCGGGUCUAAUGACGUCAUCGGGUCGGAUAAUCUCAGCGGAAUCUACUUUAAGAGUGUUGACGUCGACGGUGAGGUGGAGAUGGUCGUUGGAGAGAGUACGGUGGUGAUGAGAAAGAGAAGGCCAUUGAGGAGAAGUGAUUCGUUUAGGAAGAAUGUGGAACAUUAAUAAAGAUUGUAAAGAUUUGAGGUUUCUUGGUUCGAGCAAGAAAGAUUUGAAGAGUGGGUCUAAGUUUCGUUCCAAGGCAUCGUUGCGUGGUGCGAAGAUUGUGAUGUUGUGUUUACCAACUGCUUCUUCGAGGGUCUGGAGAAGGAGAGCUUUUUCGACUAGUUCUGCUAGCUCUGUGUAGUGAGAGUCCAGGAGAGCUACGAGGACUGAGUUUGAGUUUAUUUGACCCGGUACUGGUUUGUUAUCGGGUAAUGCGGUCGCAAUGGAGGUGGUGAGGAAGAGGAGGAGAAGGAACUUUGUGGCGCCAUAGGAGGAAUCCAUGGCGGUGGAGAGAGAGAGAGAGAGGGGAAAGAAGUGUCGGCACAAUGAAGAAAGAAAAAUGGUUUGGUGUUUUUUUGCUUGUGAAGAAGGAGAGAGAGAGAAAGAGAGAUUCUGAUGCUGAUGUGAAGUUUCUUCUUUCUUUCAUUAAAAUUUUAAUUUUUGAGUGGGUGUGUUUUUUGCAUAUUUUAUUUUAUAUUUUUGGUAAGGGUAAAAAGUUGGGUCUACACGAGAAGCAAAGGUUAUGUGUCGUGUCAAGUUGUUUGGCUUAUGCCUAACUCGGAGCCUCUCUCUCAGACAAAAGGUUUUUACUUGCUUCUGUUGAACAACUCAGCACUAUGCCUCUGUCUUCGAGCCUCGUGUCGUGUUCUGACUCGGUCGAUAUCUGAACUUCACUUGAAGUUAGAACUUUCCAUCUUUGUAUUUUUUCUUGUAAACAACAGAUCAAAACGUACGACUCAAACAAUUGUAAAUCCAAUUAUUAGCUGCAAUGUGUGCUAUUUACUAUGAUUAACUAUUAUACAA